UCCUUGGAAGCUUUUGAAGGCCUCUUAAAGAUUGUGGAUCUGAGCCAUCAUAUUCUUCUAACUCUACUCUAGCGGCAUCAGCAAGAGGAAUAUUCAGACGAUCAGCUAAACGGUAGACUUUGAGCCGUAAAGCCUUAAAAUUGGGAAGCCAGCGCCUUUGCUUUGAUUUUUCCUCAACACUUUCCAUCCGACCUCAAGGAGAGUGGUCUGUAGUCAAUGAGGAGAAAACUAAAUUAAAGCCAAGAGUCAAAUGCAGAGGGACGGCCCUAAACAAAUGAAGAUAUAAUUUAUAUAGGCUUUCUAAAUGUAAGAUAUGUGGGGAUUAUGUGUUGGAAAAGGUACGGAUAAGAGGAUGUUACAAAUACCGAGAACACAAAAAUCUAUCAACGAUGCCCCAACCGAAUAGUAAAACGAUGUGCUUGUAAAUAACGUGAAAUGAAAAAUAAAAUAAAAUAAAAAGAUGAUAUAAAAUGAAAAUAAAAGGCGUGUACCAAUAUUUGAUGGGAUAAUAUGGAGACGCAACGAAAAUGUAAAAUAAAAAGAACGCCCUUUUUCUGAGACUAAGAUAACAAAGGA